GUGAGGAAUUUUCCGCAAUGGGCGAAAGCCUGACGGAGCAAUGCCGCGUGAGUGAUGAAGGCCUUAGGGUCGUAAAGCUCUUUCGCUGGGGAAGAUAAUGACGGUACCCAGUAAAGAAACCCCGGCUAACUCCGUGACAGCAGCCGCGGUAAUACGGAGGGGGUUAGCGUUGUUCGGAAUUACUGGGCGUAAAGCGCGCGUAGGCGGAUUGGAAAGUUGGGGGUGAAAUCCCGGGGCUCAACCCUGGAAUGGCCUUCAAAACUCCCAGUCUUGAGGUCGAGAGAGGUGAGUGGAAUUCCGAGUGUAGAGGUGAAAUUCGUAGAUAUUCGGAGGAACACCAGUGGCGAAGGCGGCUCACUGGCUCGAUACUGACGCUGAGGUGCGAAAGCGUGGGGAGCAAACAGGAUUAGAUACCCUAGUAGUCC
rnacentral:rRNA from 1 species